UGUGUUCCUGAUCAGAUAUUUCUCAUCAUAUCAGAAAUCUGCUCGGCACAUCUCCACACUCGGAUUGUACUGUGUUUGAUCCCAAACACCUUUUUUUCCCCCUCAAUGUUUCAACAAAAAACUUACACCUGUGUUUUAUGACAGACACGAUUGACUUGAUAUUACUACGGACACAAAGUUGUGCAUAUGUGCCCGUUAUGGGAGUUCGAUCCAGAUAAAAAUCUGAUUCUGGCGGAGGAUCACUUUUUGGCACCACACCUGUGCCGGCCCUCGCAAAAUGAAGCAAGGCCCCGCCCCUCGUGUCAAAGCCGACUUCUGCUGCACAUGCGGGGGUUUUGCUGAGGCAGAGGAAAGUACUGGAGUUUUUAAGGGCACGGCAGAGUGAGUGAGGACUGAGCCAGUCGCAGCAGCUGCCCUGGAGAUGUCUCAGAUGAUAAUCAUCCGCACUCAUGUUGUUGACUCAGAGUUUCGGGGCUUGGCAGGUGAUUUGUGCAACCACAAGCCCAUUCACAGAGUAAACAGCGCAUGAUGCCACGCCAGCGCGAGUGCUGCUGCCUCCCACCUGGUUCUUGUGCGACUGAUUCACCGGCCGUGCACCUGGUUUUUGCUUUUGUGGAGGCAGAUUUAUGAAUGCAGCUCUGUGUGCGCGGGGGACAGGGAGCGAGGUCUGAUUAUCACAGCAAACAUGUCAGCGCCGAGACAGGAGCGCAUCAUGGAAAGUGUCAGCGGCACAUCAUCCACGGGCAUCUGACUCCGAGUGUGUGUGUUUCUGUGUGUGUGUGAGGGGGUAAACGGUUCGAGGGGCUGAAGGAAAGUGACACAUUAUGCAGAUAAGAUAGUGAACAAGUUCAAGAAAAAAAAGAAAAGAGGGGGCGGGGGCGGGGGGGGGGGGUGGCUGAUGAGUCACCAGUGUUGUUGGUAUGUAUGACAGGACACAGCAUCAGCCCAGUCAUGUCUCCAUCAUCCCGUCUCUCUCACUCUCUCUGACUGCCUCUCUUCCAGGCGUUAAUCUGGGCUCCCAUGACGAGCAUGUGAUAUCAAGCCCCAGGCUGUGUGACGGAGUGAAGGAUUGGCUGUAAUACUGGAGCACGCACGAUGAUAAUUGCUAGGUCAACAGCACCCCCACCCCCCUACCCCCCACACCCCUACCACUUCUUUUUUAACAGUAGAGCCUCCUGCGGCCUGCUGUGCCUCCACAACAACAACAACAACAACAACAACAACAACAUCAACAUGAGUAAAGCUGCCACCAGUCCAAUUAGACGUGAGACUGCGACAUGCAGUGUAAGAUCUGGCAGCCAAUCGGAAGAUGCGCUUGGGCACAGGCCAUCUCAGCAGGAUCAAGAUUGACUUUACGGGGGCAGUUUUUGUCACAGGCCAUGGAAAAACCAUUUUGGGAGCAGAGAGGAAGCGCUGAAGAGGAGUUUGUGGCCCGGUCGAUGAUGCGCAGAGGUCGUGAUUUUGGCAGCUGCUAAUAAGAGGAUGCAGGCGGGCGGCGGCGGUGGCGCCGGCAUGGCGGUGACUCAUCGAGUGAUGCCCGACCCCCACAGUCAGACAAAAUGGAUGCUGGCUAAAUGAAAAGGUGAUGACGUCAGGUGGAAAUUUGCGCGGACCAAUGAGGAGGAGCGCACAGCUGGUGCAGUUGGCUGUAGGUGUGUGUUAGUGUGUGUGAGACAUUUAUCAGGUGUGUUUAGUGAACGAACUAGAGUGCAAGUUGGAAGGAUGUGUCAAAAGGCAAGGUAACUGCCAUCAAAUGGAAUGAAAUAAGCGUUUAAGGCUCAGCUGUC